AGUCCCGUGGUGUAGUGGCCAAUCAUCUAGGCCUUUGGAGGAGUACACCCUGUACACGCUUGGAAACCCCAGCUGUGUAUUCCGAGGAUAGCCUAGGACGGCGGUUCGAAUCCGCCCGGGACUA
rnacentral:tRNA from 1 species